rnacentral:rRNA from 1 species
CAGCAGCCGCGGUAAUACGAAGGGUGCAAGCGUUAAUCGGAAUUACUGGGCGUAAAGCGUGCGUAGGCGGUGAGUUAAGUCUGCUGUGAAAUCCCCGGGCUCAACCUGGGAAUGGCAGUGGAUACUGGCUCGCUAGAGUGUGUCAGAGGAUGGUGGAAUUCCCGGUGUAGCGGUGAAAUGCGUAGAGAUCGGGAGGAACAUCAGUGGCGAAGGCGGCCAUCUGGGACAACACUGACGCUGAGGCACGAAAGCGUGGGGAGCAAACAGGAUUAGAUACCCCCGGUAGUCCCUGUCUCUUAUA